rnacentral:rRNA from 1 species
CAGCAGCCGCGGUAAUACCGGCGGCCCGAGUGGCGGUCACUAUUAUUGGGCUUAAAGCGUCCGUAGCCGGGUUGGGAAGUCCUCCGGGAAAUCUGGCCGCUUAACGGUCAGAAUGCCGGAGGAUACUCCCAGCCUAGGGAGCGGGAGAGGCCGAGGGGAUUCCCGGAGUAGGGGUGAAAUCCUAUAAUCCCGGGAGGACCACCUGUGGCGAAGGCGCUCGGCUGGAACGCGUCCGACGGGGAGGGACGAAGGCCAGGGGAGCAAACCGGAUUAGAUACCCGGGUAGUCCUGGCGGUAAACGAUGCGGACUUUGUGUCGGACAAGCUAUGAGCUUGUCCGGUGCCGGAGGGAAACCGUUAAGUCCGCCGCCUGGGGAGUACGGCCGCAAGGCUGAAACUUAAAGGAAUUGGCGGG